rnacentral:lncRNA from 1 species
GGCUCGGGAUCAGGCUCGUCGUGGCGGUCGCAAGAGCCAUCUUGUGCCUCUUGUUGUUGCUGCUGUUGCUGUUGUGAAGAAAAUCUAUAUCCAAAGGUCGCCUACAACAUUACAUUACAUUAUAUUACAUUACACGCAUGAACGGCACGUCAUUUAUAGAAGGUAUCUCUUAAAUAAGAAAGAAAAAUGUUCUUACCAACUGAGUUCUUUUAUAGUAGAUUCCUCUUCCGGGCCGCCGCCGCCGCCGCCGCCGCUGUCGACCGCCAGCUUGAAAUUCACGGCGGCCGACAGAAGGGACGGUUC